CCCCGGGCCCGGUACAGCUGUACCCCCAGUGCCCCCCUGAUGGCGGCCCUGACUGCACAUAAAUCUGGAUCAAUACCAUCAUUGAUGGAUAAUCCUUUAGGGAAUGUGAGAUGAUGUAUCAAUCUAAAGGAGCCUGAUUCUUUUCUAGGAACAAGACCUAAUGGAGAAACUUACAAAUCUGAUAAUGGCAGCUCUGAGAAUGGCCCUUCAAUCCUGCCUAACGAUUGCUCUUUAUCAAACUUCUGUUGGCCAAUGCGUGGAUGUUCACUCAAAGAUUUCAAAUAUAAAAAAAACAUAGAUGGUGGUAAAUGUAACCCAAUCAGAGUAACCUCAUAAGAUGGAAUCACAAUAUGUAGUUUUAGCAAUGACUGAUAAACACCAGGAACAUCUAGAGCAUUCGGGCGAAGGCUUCAUCACCAGCCUCUCUGCUUAUCCACCGUAGCAUCUCCUCAGCUGCCACUUCCAUGAAACUCACCAUGCUCCAGGAUCUUCAGGGAUGUCUCAGGACCUGAUUCUACAAUGAUAAGUAUACCUCCCUGGAGACCUGCUUAUAUAGGGGCUCGU